rnacentral:miRNA from 1 species
GAAUCGCUUGAACCCAGGAGGUGGAGGCUGCAGUGAGCCAAGAUCGUGCCACUGCACUCCAGCCUGGGCGACAAGAACGAAACU